GACGUAGGGUCCAAGCGUUGUCCGGAUUUACUGGGCGUAAAGAGCGCGUAGGCGGUCUGUUAAGUGUAGAGUGAAAUCUCCAGGGCUCAACCCGGAAACUGCUCUGCAUACUGGCAGACUUGAGGGAUGCAGAGGUUUGUGGAAUUCCUGGUGUAACGGUGAAAUGUGUUGAUAUCAGGAGGAACACCCAUGGCGAAGGCAGCAAACUGGGCAUCAUCUGACGCUGAGGCGCGAAAAGCGUGGGUAGCAAACAGG
rnacentral:rRNA from 1 species